AUACUUACCUGGACGGGGUCUACGGGUGAUCAAGAAGAUUCGUGGCCUAGGCUAGUGAGUUCCAUUGCACUUUGGGAGUGUGCUUUAACCUAAGGUCUCCCCAAGUGGGAGAUCCUGCGUCAUUAUUUGUUGCUUUGGGGGCCUGCGUUCGCGCGGCCCCUUC
rnacentral:snRNA from 1 species